CUGGUAACUCCCUUAAUACAACUAUUGCACAUGUGCCAAAUGUAGAGCAGGAACAACCUACCCUUCCAGAGCACCUUAGUUUUCCUAUCCAGUAAUUGUGUUUUGAGGAUUUGUUUGUCUUUUCAUUUUUUCAGCUGUGGAGCAAGGUUGUUUUUCUUCGACUUCUGAUUUUGACUCUUCCAUCUCUUUUUUGCACCAAGUUACAUUGUAUAUGAUAGUAGGUCAAUAACAAAAUGUAGUAUGAUAAAUACUAUAAAUGUUUGCACCUGUCCUAAGUCAGGAAUCUGAUGUACAGAAGUUGUCGUUUGUUUAUGUAAUUUAUACUUGUUUCUGGUUUCUCGUUUUUUUAAAUUUUAUAUAGAUUAAACCCGUUUGAAUGGUUUUACACUAGUAAUUUUGGGGCCCUUUAUAGCUUGUUGUUUGGUGUGAGCCAAGGCUCCGUGUUGAAGGCCGUACAUUGACCUAUAAUGGUUUACUUUUUUUUAAAUUGUUAUUUGGAUAGAGAGUUGUCUCAUUGGCACUCACACCACAUCUUCCUAUAUCUAUAUAUAGCCAUAAAAUUAAGUACCGGUACUGAAUUGUUCCAAUAAUUU
rnacentral:lncRNA from 1 species